AUGAUCAUUUUACAUCACGAUAUCUUUUUCUUCUGGUUAUGCGUUUUCCUCUGCACUUUUCUUUGUAUUUCAUUUAUGGAAUCGUCCGGGCAGAAACGGGCAAGAAUCUCUUCUGUCGUAGAGGCCUCGUCGAGUGCUUCCGCUACGCCAGGAGAUGAUGAUCCAAGAAAAAACAAAGUGGGACGGAGAGAUGCUGAUGGAAAAGAGGAGUUGAGGUCAGAGCCAUCCACAAGCCACACCCCGCCGAACCCUUUUCCUGAAGCACCAUCUAUUGAUUUCUUAAGGAAACGCAUUAAAACGGUUCUUAAGUCCUGUCGAAAUAGGUACCCGGCGGAUCGCCUAUUACGCUCUACUUACUCGGAUCUUCACCUUGAAACGGCGAGCGCGGAGAAACGGAUCAAAAUCGCCCAGGUCCUCGAAGAUAUGUCCAAGCGAAGCCAAGAUUUUCGGAGUAACAAAAGGGAGCAGCCCCAUACCGACUUGAUUAUUCAAAUCUGCGAUUGGGAGCAGGAUCACCUACGAAAAAGAAAUUCACUGGUGUAG
rnacentral:rRNA from 1 species